rnacentral:rRNA from 1 species
UACGUAGGGUGCAAGCGUUGUUCGGAAAUACUGGGCGUAAAGCGCACGUAGGCGGCGCAGCAAGUCAGGGGUGAAAUCCCGGGGCUCAACCCCGGAACUGCCCUUGAAACUGCAGUGCUAGAAUUCUGGAGAGGCGAGUGGAAUUCCGAGUGUAGAGGUGAAAUUCGUAGAUAUUGGGAAGAACACCAGUGGCGAAGGCGGCUAACUGGUCCAGAUCUGACGCUGAGGUGCGAAAGCGUGGGGAGCAAACAGG